AUAUUGGGUAAAUAUAUAAAGAGAUUAAGAUUAUUAUGAUUUAGCUGUAUAUCAAAUAGAUAGAAGUAAGAAUCUUGUUUUUUUCGAGAGAGAGAUAGAUAGCACGCUACCCGCUUCGUUUAUUUCAUUUAGAAAUAAAUUUAGCUGGAAAUGUGAAUCAACUGGGAUUCAAACUUGGGUCUCAGGUACCAACCACUAAGCCCUUCGCCACUUGCUCUAGGGAUGGUCGGUUCGCCUUUAACAAUUGUUAAAGAGCUUCUUCUGCUAAAUCAACAGAUGAAGCUGAUCAUUGAUACAAAAAACAUCCUGUAUGUUAUAUGUAGGUCAAAAUUCUUAUUUCCAUACAGCUUGGAAAUAAUAUUCUUAACAAAGAUUAGUACUGAGUUUUACUUAAAAUGCUACCAUGUUUUUGCGAAAAAACAUUUUUUUGAUGAAAAUAAAAAUUGAAAAGAAAAUACAGCAUAUACUCGGAUAUAAGUAAGAACUAGUUGUUUCAGGAAUAGAUAUAAGAUGAGGUAUAAGGCGAGAGUAUAAAGUAAUUUUGUGUUUGGUUGAGUAUUGGGUUUAUUCCAAAUAUAAACAAAAUAGUAUUUAGUUGGAUUAAAUGGAAUAAGAAGGAUAGCGGGUGGUAUAAAUAGAAAAUAAUAAUAUUGCGCUAGCUCUUUAUUAUAUUUUAAUUAAAAUUUUUAGAUUUUAUAUUUAAAACUUUAAAUUUAAAUAUAUAACUCUAAAAUUUUAAAAAUACAAACUUAAAAUUUAAAUUUUAAAAUCUCAAAUUCGAAAAUUCAAAGUUCUAAAUUUUUAAUUUCAAAUUUUAAAAAUUUAAGAUCAAAUCUAAAUUUAUAAAUAUAAAAUUUCAAAUUUAAAAAAUUAAAUAUAUCAAUUUAAAAUUGAAAUUUUAAAUUUUAAAUUUUAAAUUUUAGGGAAAACUUCAAAAACCCCCUCUGUGGUUUUCAACUUUCUCACUUUAGUACCCUGUGGUUUAAAGUGUAUCAAUUUGCCCCCCCUGUGGUUUUGUUUUUAUUUUUUCUAUAGCUUUUUUCUUAAUAUUUCGUUAAAUUAUAUACAAAAAAAACAUCAGAUAUCCAUCUAGAUUUACCGAAUAUUUACUUUAGUACCCUUUAAUUUUAAUUUUGUUACUGAUUUGAGAAAAAAAAUAAUAAAAUUGAUAAAAAAAAGAGAAAAACGAAACCACCGGGGGAUAAAUUAAUACACUUUAAACCACAGGGUACUAAAGUGAGAAAGUUGGAAACCACAGGGGUUUUCGAAGUUAUCCCUAAAUUUUAAUUUUAAUAUUACAAAUUAUAAAUGUUUAAAAUUUAUACUUUAAAUUUUAAAAUUUAAAUUUAAAUUUAUAAAUUAAAUAGGGAUGGAAAUAGCUAUUCUCAU
rnacentral:lncRNA from 1 species